AUGACUGAGCUAUUAAAGAAGGACACCAAGUUCAAUUGGACUGAGGAAUGUGAAGCUAGUUUCCAAGAAUUGAAGAAACGAUUGGUUACAUCACCAGUGUUGAUUUUGCUAGAUCAACGCAAGGAUUAUGAAGUUUAUUGCGACGCUUCUCGUCGAGGACUUGGAGCAGUGCUUAUGCAUGAAGGAAGAGUUGUGUCAUAUGCUUCACGACAACUUAAACCCCAUGAGAAGAAUUAUGCCACGCAUGAUUUGGAAUUAGCAGCCAUAGUGCAUGCGUUGAAGACAUGGAGACAUUUUCUCAUCAGAAACCAUUGUGAGGUGUACACGAAUCACAAGAGUUUGAAGUACAUUUUCACGCAGAAGGAGUUAAAUCUCAGACAGAGGAGAUGGUUGGAGCUUAUUAAGGACUAUGAUAUGAGAUUGCAUUAUCACCCAGGGAAGGCUAACGUAGUAGAAGAUGCGUUGAGCCGCAAGAGCCAUGUCAACACCCUCAUGACAGGAGAGUUACCUCAGGAGUUAACCGAGGACCUUCGCGAGCUAUGUUUGGAGAUAGUCCCAAGAGGCUAUUUAGCGACAUUGGAGAUUUAG
rnacentral:rRNA from 1 species